rfam:Schistosoma margrebowiei strain Zambia genome assembly, scaffold: SMRZ_contig0008229
AUCCAGCUGAUGAAUCCCGAAUAGGACGAAACGCGCAUCCUGGAU